rnacentral:rRNA from 1 species
CCUACGGGAGGCAGCAGUGGGGAAUUUUGGACAAUGGGCGAAAGCCUGAUCCAGCAAUGCCGCGUGAGUGAAGAAGGCCUUCGGGUUGUAAAGCUCUUUUGUCAGGGAAGAAACGGUGGGAGCUAAUAUCUCCUGCUAAUGACGGUACCUGAAGAAUAAGCACCGGCUAACUACGUGCCAGCAGCCGCGGUAAUACGUAGGGUGCAAGCGUUAAUCGGAAUUACUGGGCGUAAAGCGUGCGCAGGCGGUUUUGUAAGUCUGAUGUGAAAUCCCCGGGCUCAACCUGGGAAUUGCAUUGGAGACUGCAAGGCUAGAAUCUGGCAGAGGGGGGUAGAAUUCCACGUGUAGCAGUGAAAUGCGUAGAUAUGUGGAGGAACACCGAUGGCGAAGGCAGCCCCCUGGGUCAAGAUUGACGCUCAUGCACGAAAGCGUGGGGAGCAAACAGGAUUAGAUACCCUGGUAGUCCACGCCCUAAACGAUGUCUACUAGUUGUCGGGUCUUAAUUGACUUGGUAACGCAGCUAACGCGUGAAGUAGACCGCCUGGGGAGUACGGUCGCAAGNUUAAAACUCAAAUGAAUUGAGNGNGAGAGNGCGAGGACGACGACGAGGGAGGAGG